UCAACCUUUCAAUUACUAUCUUUUUAAUUAAUUUCCAACGCAUUGAUUUUCAUCACAUUCUUAUAUAUAACAAACAAACAGACCAUAUAUCUCUUGAAUUUGUUAUGCAGAUACAACUUAUAUCUCUUUGAACAUAUGCUUUGCGUUCAUAAUUUUGUUUCUAGGUAUCUUAUUAUUAUAUAUCCCGCGCCUCGCACGGGAAAAGGGACUAGUUUUAUGAUCAAGAAGGACUCUCGAUAUGGACAAGUCCUAAAUUUUGUAUCAUUUAUUACUUUAACACGUGUUGGUGAAAUUUGAUUUGAGUAAUAAACUGUUUCACACUUUCACUAUUUUUCAUUAAGCCAAGACAUAUUAUAUUACAUACACCUGAACAAUAUAGUACGUAUGUCUCAGUAUAGUAGUUUUGGACAAUAAUCACAAUCCACCAACAAAUAUGACAUUCUUUAAUUGAAGGUUGGAAUGCAGUUGUUUAUGUAGUUAUUAUGCAAUUAAAAUGAAAGAAAUGCAAACCAAAAAACUUAAUAGUAUUUGUUUACUUCAUUUCAGGACAAAUAAAAAAGUGUUACACUUCACAACCCAAACUCAAAACAAAGCUUGGCUUUUAUAAUAUAUCAACAUCAAAUCCUUCCUUUUUGAAAGAUAACCAACAUGGUAUGCUUUGGUAUUUCUAGUACAUGUUCUUUUGAGGUAUCUUUGGUUAAGUAUGAAGGUCUUAGAUUGACUCAAAGAAUGCAAAUGUAUUCAGUUGCAUGCAUGCCAAAAAGAUUCAUUUUAGCUUCUGGUAAUUGUUCUUCAUUUUUUACUCUUGAU
rnacentral:lncRNA from 1 species